rnacentral:rRNA from 1 species
GGUUAAGUGAAUAAGGGCGUACGGUGAAUGCCUUGGCACUAGGAGCCGAUGAAGGACGGGACGAACACCGAUAUGCUUCGGGGAGCUGUAAGUAAGCUUUGAUCCGGAGAUUUCCGAAUGGGGGAACCUCAUUGUUUUUAUCGACAAUGGUCCACUCAGUGAACACAUAGCUGAGUGGAAGGUAGACGUGGUGAACUGAAACAUCUCAGUAGCCACAGGAAGAGAAAGAAAAAUCGAUUUCCCGAGUAGCGGCGAGCGAAACGGAAAGAGGCCAAACCAGCGUGCUUGCAUGCUGGGGUUGUAGGACUGAUGGACGGGAGUGAAUGAGCUAGUCGAACGCCAUGGAAAGGGCGAUCAGAGAGGGUGACAAUCCCGUAGGCGAAAGCUCAGCCACCUCAUUCAGUAUCCUGAGUACGGCGGUACACGUGAAAUUCCGUCGGAAUCCGCCAGGACCAUCUGGCAAGCCUAAAUACUCCCUAGUGACCGAUAGUGAACCAGUACCGUGAGGGAAAGGUGAAAAGCACCCCGGAAGGGGAGUGAAAGAGUACCUGAAACCGUAUGCCUACAAGCAGUCAGAGCCCGUUAAGGGGUGAUGGCGUACUUUUUGUAGAACGGACCGGCGAGUGACGAUAGCAAGCAAGGUUAAGCUGAAGAAGCGGAGCCACAGCGAAAGCGAGUCUGAAGAGGGCGUUGAGUUUGUUGUCGUCGACCCGAAACCAAGUGAUCUACUCAUGUCCAGGCUGAAGGUGUGGUAAAACACACUGGAGGGCCGAACCCACGUCUGUUGAAAAAGGCGGGGAUGAGGUGUGGGUAGCGGUGAAAUUCCAAUCGAACUUGGAGAUAGCUGGUUCUCUCCGAAAUAGCUUUAGGGCUAGCCUCGGAUGAUGACUAUUGGAGGUAGAGCACUGUUUGAUCGAGGGGUCCAUCCUGGAUUACCGACAUCUGAUAAACUCCGAAUGCCAAAUAGUUUAGUCCGGGAGUCAGACUGCGAGUGAUAAGAUCCGUAGUCGAAAGGGAAAGAGCCCAGACCACCAGCUAAGGUCCCAAAGUUUCAGUUAAGUGGAAAAGGAUGUGGGGUUGCUUAGACAACUAGGAUGUUGGCUUAGAAGCAGCCAUCAUUGAAAGAGUGCGUAAUAGCUCACUAGUCGAGUGACCCUGCGCCGAAAAUGUACCGGGGCUAAACUGAACACCGAAGCUGUGGAUCCGUAGGAUGGUAGGAGAGCGUUCUAUAGGCAGAGAAGCAUGAUCGUGAGGACAUGUGGAGCGUAUAGAAGUGAGAAUGCCGGUAUGAGUAGCGAAAGACGGGUGAGAAUCCCGUCCACCGAAUGACUAAGGUUUCCUGGGGAAGGCUCGUCCUCCCAGGGUUAGUCGGGACCUAAGCCGAGACCGAAAGGGAUAGGCGAUGGACAACAGGUUGAGAUUCCUGUACUUGUUUGAUUUGUUUGAGCGAUGGAAGGACACAGAAGGCUAAGCGGAGCGCGGAGAUGGAAAAACGCGUCCAAGCAAUAAGUGAGAAGGUGAGUGAAAGGCUUGCCUCAGACUUCAUGAGUUGUGACGGGGAGGGAAAUUUAGUACCGAAGCCGCCGACGUCACGCUGUCAAGAAAAGUUUCUAGUGAGAAUCAAACAACCCGUACCGCAAACCGACACAGGUAGUCGAGUGGAGAACACUAAGGUGAGCGAGCGAACUCUCGUUAAGGAACUCGGCAAAAUGACCCCGUAACUUCGGGAGAAGGGGUGCUGACCGCAAGGUCAGCCGCAGUGAAUAGGCCCAAGCGACUGUUUAUCAAAAACAUAGGUCUCUGCCAAAUCGAAAGAUGAUGUAUAGAGGCUGACGCCUGCCCGGUGCUGGAAGGUUAAGAGGAAGGGUUAGCGUAAGCGAAGCUCUGAAUUGAAGCCCCAGUAAACGGCGGCCGUAACUAUAACGGUCCUAAGGUAGCGAAAUUCCUUGUCAGGUAAGUUCUGACCCGCACGAAAGGCGUAACGAUUUGGGCACUGUCUCAACGAGAGGCUCGGUGAAAUUGUAGUACCAGUGAAGAUGCUGGUUACCCGCGACAGGACGGAAAGACCCCAUGGAGCUUUACUGUAGGUUGAUAUUGAAUGUUUGUGCCACAUGUACAGGAUAGGUAGGAGCCAUCGAAGUCGGGACGCUAGUCUCGAUGGAGGCACUGGUGGGAUACUACCCUUGUGGGAUGACCAUUCUAACCCGCGACCAUUAGCUGGUCGGGAGACAGUGUCAGUCAGGCAGUUUGACUGGGGCGGUCGCCUCCUAAAGUGUAACGGAGGCGCCCAAAGGUUCCCUCAGAAUGGUUGGAAAUCAUUCGCAGAGUGUAAAGGCAGAAGGGAGCUUGACUGCGAGACCUACAAGUCGAGCAGGGACGAAAGUCGGGCUUAGUGAUCCGGUGGUUCCGCAUGGAAGGGCCAUCGCUCAACGGAUAAAAGCUACCCUGGGGAUAACAGGCUUAUCUCCCCCAAGAGUUCACAUCGACGGGGAGGUUUGGCACCUCGAUGUCGGCUCAUCGCAUCCUGGGGCUGAAGUCGGUCCCAAGGGUUGGGCUGUUCGCCCAUUAAAGCGGUACGCGAGCUGGGUUCAGAACGUCGUGAGACAGUUCGGUCCCUAUCCGUCGCGGGCGUUGGAAAUUUGAGAGGAGCUGUCCUUAGUACGAGAGGACCGGGAUGGACACACCGCUGGUGUACCAGUUGUUCCACCAGGAGCAUGGCUGGGUAGCUAUGUGUGGACGGGAUAAGCGCUGAAAGCAUCUAAGCGUGAAGCCCCCCUCAAGAUGAGAUUUCCCAUACUUUUAAAGUAGUAAGACCCCUGAAAGACGAUCAGGUUGAUAGGUUUGGAGUGGAAGCUUAGCAAUAAGUGGAGCGGACAAAUACUAAUCGGUCGAGGACUUAUCCAA